rnacentral:rRNA from 1 species
CAGCAGCCACGGGAAUACGAAGGGUGCAAGCGUUAAUCGGAAUUACUGGGCGUAAAGCGUGCGUAGGCGGUUUGUUAAGUCUGCUGUGAAAUCCCCGGGCUCAACCUGGGAAUGGCAGUGGAUACUGGCAAGCUAGAGUGUGUCAGAGGAUGGUGGAAUUCCCGGUGUAGCGGUGAAAUGCGUAGAGAUCGGGAGGAACAUCAGUGGCGAAGGCGGCCAUCUGGGACAACACUGACGCUGAGGCACGAAAGCGUGGGGAGCAAACAGGAUUAGAUACCCCGGUAGUCCCUGUCUCUUAUAA